UGGGGAAUCUUCCGCAAUGGACGAAAGUCUGACGGAGCAACGCCGCGUGUAUGAUGAAGGUCUUCGGAUUGUAAAGUACUGUCAUUGGGGAAGAACGGUUUUCUUGAAAAGAUUGAGAAGACAUGACGGUACCCAAGGAGGAAGCCCCGGCUAACUACGUGCCAGCAGCCGCGGUAAUACGUAGGGGGCAAGCGUUGUCCGGAAAUUAUUGGGCGUAAAGGGCGCGUAGGCGGGCCUUUAAGUCCGGUGUGAAAGAUCAGGGCUCAACCCUGAGAGUGCAUCGGAAACUGGAGGCCUUGAGGACAGGAGAGGAAAGUGGAAUUCCACGUGUAGCGGUGAAAUGCGUAGAUAUGUGGAGGAACACCAGUGGCGAAGGCGACUUUCUGGACUGUAACUGACGCUGAGGCGCGAAAGCGUGGGGAGCAAACAGGAUUAGAUACCCUGGUAGUCCACGCCGUAAACGAUGAGUGCUAGGUGUAGAGGGUAUCGA
rnacentral:rRNA from 1 species